rnacentral:tRNA from 1 species
CAGGGAGACAACAAAAUGUUUAAUAUUAUUAUUUUGUCACCUUAGGUCGAUCGGUAUCUCACGUUUUUAAUUUAUUAAGAAUUUCAUUUCCUAAGUUUUUCUAGGUCACACCCAUUUUUUCCUGGGCCAUUAGCUCAGGUGGUUAGAGCGCACCCCUGAUAAGGGUGAGGUCCCUGGUUCAAGUCCAGGAUGGCCCAUAUCUCUAUGUUGGGGGUAUAGCUCAGUUGGUAGAGCGCCUGCUUUGCAAGCAGGAUGUCAGCGGUUCGAGUCCGCUUACCUCCACUGACUACCACCUCUUCCAUAUUUUGUAGAAAGGAAAAAAUUUUGAGUUGAGAUCAUCAUUCUGAACGAAUCUAGCUUCCUAAUGAAACUAUUAAGAUGCUGGACUCAUUGAUUUAUUUCAUUGUUUUCAGAGAACCUUGACAACUGCAUAGAUUAUUUUUUAAAGACAAUAAGCAUCUUUAAUGAUGCAGAUUUAUUAUUUGUGCGAAUGCAUUAAUAACAAUUCUAUUAAGCUGAUGCUUCAAUAUUGAAGUUAUU